CAGAAAUCAAGAGUUGGACGCUCAACCAACUGAACCAGGCAGCUAUAGAAACAGAAGCCCAGACUGUAAGAAUCUUGCCCAGGAUACAGCCCUCUGCACAGGCCGCGUGUUCUGUCUGCACCACGACUGAUGCCAGGACUGAGGCUGCAGCUCCAGGCCCUCAGGGCGGCUGGAUGGCUCAGUCCGCUAAGCAUCCGACUUA